rnacentral:lncRNA from 1 species
UUCUUUCCAUUUAAAAAUUGUAACUUUUUGUUUUGUAUAACUUAUAUCAUUAAAAUGAAGGCAGAGUCUUACUCUUACAGGACCCAAAUCUUAUGAAACACUCAAUUUUAACCAAGCAAUACUUCUACCAUCCAUCACUUGCCGAACCUAUCAGACAGUAGAUGGCUGAGAAAGCGCGUAUGUGACUAACCCUACUUAGUUACUUGUCGCUGUCAAGGACUAGUAGAGUGCAAUUUCAAAAUCAUUUAGUAAGAUGGUUUUUUUUUUCUGUUAUAAAGAAAAUUGCACGCUUCUCCACUCGAACCCGCGGGACUCGUCAUGCACUCAUGCUAUAUGUUGACACCAAACCACGAUGCCAA